AGAGUUUGAUCCUGGCUCAGAUUGAACGCUGGCGGUAUGCUUUACACAUGCAAGUCGAACGGAUUUGGGGGCUUGCUCCCAAGUUAGUGGCGAACGGGUGAGUAAUAUAUCGGAACAUAUCCGGAAGUGGGGGAUAACGUAGCGAAAGUUACGCUAAUACCGCAUAUGCCCUGAGGGGGAAAGGGGGGGAUCGCAAGACCUCUCGCUUUCGGAGUGGCCGAUAUCGGAUUAGCUAGAUGGUGAGGUAAUGGCUCACCAUGGCGACGAUCCGUAGCUGGUCUGAGAGGACGACCAGCCACACUGGAACUGAGACACGGUCCAGACUCCUACGGGAGGCAGCAGUGGGGAAUUUUGGACAAUGGGCGCAAGCCUGAUCCAGCCAUACCGCGUGAGUGAAGAAGGCCUUCGGGUUGUAAAGCUCUUUCAGCCGGAAAGAAAUCGCAUUCCUUAAUACGGGGUGUGGAUGACGGUACCGGAAGAAGAAGCACCGGCUAACUACGUGCCAGCCGCCGCGGU
rnacentral:rRNA from 1 species